AGUGAACGCUGGCGGUAGGCCUAACACAUGCAAGUCGAACGACAGCACAGUAAGAGCUUGCUCUUACGGGUGGCGAGUGACGGACGGGUGAGGAAUAGAUAGGAAUCUACUUUUUCGUGGGUGAUAACGGGGGGAAACUUACGCUAAUACCGAAUACGACCUACGGGUGGAAUCAGGAGAUCUUGGGAGCUUGCGCGACAGAAAGAGACGGUGUCGCAUUAGCUAGUUGGCGUGGUAACGGCUCACCAAGGCGACGAUACGUAGCUGGUCUGAGAGGAUGAUCAGCCACACUGGAACUGAGACACGGUCCAGACUCCUACGGGAGGCAGCAGUAGGGAAUAUUCGACAAUGGGCGAAAGCCUGACCGAGCAACACCGCGUGGGUGAAGAAGGUCUUCGGGUCGUAAAACUCUUUUGUUGGGAAAGAAAAGCAGCAUGUGAAACCCUCCAUGUUCUGACGGUACCCAAACAGUAAGCACCGGCUAACUUCGUG
rnacentral:rRNA from 1 species